GGUUAACGCUGGCAGUGUGCCUAACACAUGCAAGUCGAACGGCCCGCAAGGGUAGUGGCGGACGGCUGAGUAAUACAAAGGAACGUGCCCAAAAGUGUGGAAUACCCGGCCGAAAGGUCGGUUAAUGCCACAUGUGGACGCAAGUCUAAAGCAGCAAUGCGCUUUCGGAGCGGCCUUUGGCCUAUCAGGUAGUUGGUGGGGUAAUAGCCUACCAAGCCGACGACGGGUAGCUGGUCUGAGAGGACGACCAGCCAGACUGGGACUGAGAACGGCCCAG
rnacentral:rRNA from 1 species